rnacentral:rRNA from 1 species
UACGUAGGGACCGAGCGUUAUCCGGAUUCAUUGGGCGUAAAGAGCUCGUAGGCGGCUAUUCAAGUCGGACGUGAAAUCUCGGGGCUCAACUCCGAGCCUGCGUUCGAUACUGGGUAGCUAGAGUCUGGUAGGGGGAUCUGGAAUUCCUGGUGUAGCGGUGGAAUGCGCAGAUAUCAGGAGGAACACCGGUGGCGAAGGCGGGAUCCUGGGCCAGUACUGACGCUGAGGAGCGAAAGCGUGGGGAGCAAACAGG